GCCAAAGCGGAGCAUGCAAACUUAACUGCUGCACCACGAGGCCAGCCCCUGAAUUUGUAAAUUUGCUUCAGGGACAAUUGACAUCUUUCAAAUAUUAACUCUUCCUAUUCAAGAGCACUCAAUAUCCUUGCACAUUUUUUUAGUGUUUUGGUUGUGCUACUGAGUGUUUUUCUAUUUUAUUAUUAUUGUUUUAAAGUACUAAUUCUUGGUUUUAUUUAUCAAUUCUACUGUUUAUCUAACUUUUGUAUUUCAAUCAUUUAAAUCCUCCUUAUUUUUAGUCUGAGUUAAAUUAUUAAUUCAAUGUUUUAUUCUAUUUCUUUUUCUAAGUACUUAAGUCUAUUAAUUUUUCUGUGAAUAUAGUUGUAGACAAGUCACACAAGUUUUGAUAUCUAUAGUUUUAAUUUUCAUUUUUCUAGAUAUUCUGCACUGUUUCAAUAUCCUACUUGACACAAGAAUAAUGAAGAUAGCAUUUAAAAAUUUCCAGAGUCAUGAAACAUCAACAAGGGAACCUGCGGCAAGCAGAGACCAGAUAAGCCUAUGCACUUGGUGUCCUGCCCUCCUGGAAGGCCGCUGUACCAGAGGAAGCCCAGACUGGCCUCCUUGAGAAUAACAGAGCAUGUGAAAGGAGGCGCCCAGCCAUCCAGCGGUCCCUGCAGCUGCUCAAGUGAGUACAGGCGACAUCAACAGAAGAACCACCCAACCAGUCCAUAGAAGCCUGAGAAACAAUAGAUUAUUUUUUAAGCCACUGGGGUUGGGUUUGUUGCAUAGCAAUAGAUAUCUGAUAUAUUUAAAUUACCCAGAUUGCUAAAAUAAUGUCCUUUGUAGCUGCUUACCACUUUUUUGAUCCAGAAUUGAUUCAAGACUCACACAUUGAAUUUAGUUAUCAUGUUUCUUUAGUGUCUUUUUAUUCAUAUCUGUUCCCUUUCCUAAUUUUUUUGUCUCAAAUGAUAAUGACUUUUUUUUAUUAAAGAAUCUGGGACUGUUGUCUUAUAAAAUAUCUUAUAAUUUUGAUUUGUUUGAAUAUUUCCUUACGAAUACGUUGAGUUUAGACAUUUUUCUCAGAAUAAAGUAGUUAACAUUGUAUAUUUCUCAUCAUGUCAUGUCAAGAGGGAUGCUGAGUUUAAUCAUUUGAUUAAGGUGGUCCUCGUUAGAUUUGUACAUUAUUAAAAAAAUACUUUGAGAAUAUAUAAAUAUUCAAUUCAACAACUAACUUUCACCCAAUGGCUAGAGCAAUGACGAUGAUCCCUGCCUGAAUAAAUUAUUAUAUCAGUGAUUGCAAAAAA